GAGCCAUGAAAAACAUUUUGAUGGUUACUCAUGUAUCAAGUGCAUAAGGUUAGAUUAAAGUGACCGUUUGCCUAAAGAGGGGUUACCAAAUUAUUAUUUAUCCAGUUUUAUAUGGAUACAAUUUCAGGUUAUGAAUCUACAUUUAAGGAAAGUUGUGAAUUUUUGUGAUCCUUAGCAAAGUGUGAGUAGGAUAUUCUCACCCAGUA